UCCUACGGGAGGCAGCAGUGAGGAAUAUUGGUCAAUGGGCGGGAGCCUGAACCAGCCAAGUCGCGUGAGGGAAGACGGUCCUAUGGAUUGUAAACCUCUUUAGGCGGGGAGCAAUGCCGGGCACGCGUGUCCGGAGGGAGAGUACCCGCAGAAUAAGCAUCGGCUAACUCCGUGCCAGCAGCCGCGGUAAUACGUAGGAUCCGAGCAUUAUCCGGAGUGACUGGGUGUAAAGAGUUGCGUAGGUGGCAUAGUAAGUAGCUAGUGAAAUCUGGUGGCUCAACCAUUCAGACUAUUAGCUAAACUGC
rnacentral:rRNA from 1 species